GGCGGGCGCUGGGGCCGAGUCCGGACCGCGCCCGGUGCGGGACCGGGGCCCCGCCGGGCUCGGUCCUGCUCCAGCCACUCACCCGACACCUGCCGGGGGAGACUCGAUGCUCUCCCUCCCGUCCCCCUUCCUCUGUGGCUCGCACCCCCCAGUGGAAGAACACGGGGGUUUAAAAAGCCGGUGAAAGGUGUUUGUUCUUUAUUUUCAGAGCACAGGAGGUUCCGAGUUGGAAAGGGCCCCGAGGAUCAUCGAGUCAAACGGUGAUGAGCGAUUGGCCCACGUGGGGACUGAAUUCAGCAUCUUGGCCUUGUCAGCACCCUGCUCCAAGCACCUGAGCAACCUCAGGCUCAUGAGGAAGGUCCUGCCUGGGAUGAGGUGGCUGCUGCCAGCAAGGGAAUUCCUAUGUCAAUGUGGCUCCUUCCUUCCUGCUAGUCCUGCUCUGCACACCAGCCCCUAGACUGGCUCUAGAGCAGGACUGGCUGGUGUCUCACAGGACAGCACCAGACUCUUCAAUAACCUUGGUUUCCUGCUCUUUCCAGGAUUUACCACCAGCUGUAAAGGUGCUCAUUCCAUGUCCCUUUCCAAGGAGAAAUGAGCAGGACAAGCCCUGAGGGUUCACUUGGUCCGUGGCCAGAGUUCUUCAGGAGAGUGUCAGGGCUGGUCCCACCUGCAGAGGGGCGUUUCCUGCAGGUGAGUGUUCACAGCCCAAAAUCCCUGCAGGUGAGUGUUCACAGCCCAAAAUCCCUGCAGGUGCUGGGGCUGGGGCCACUUUCCUGGCCCGGAGCUGCACGGAGCCCUUGGUGACUCCCACUCCCAGGUGGGAAUGUUCCUUGGUGUUUCCUCAGUGGUCCCAGCUGGCUGGGAAUGCGGGGCAGGAGGAGGCCGGGAGCCCAGGAAGGGACCCAGCACCUCCUGCCCUCGGUGUUUGCAGGGGAGGAGCUGUGCCUCAGUGUCCCGCCACACCCGCAUCCCGGGGAUGGGCAGCGCUGGGAUGGACGUGGAUCGAGGGCUGCCCGCGGCUCCUCGGCCAGGGGCUGCUCUGACGGGCUCCGGAGCUGCUUCAGCCCGGACAGACCCCGCCCGCAGCCCCAAAUUACCGAGGAACAGCUGGAACAUCUGGCUUUACCUGGGAAUGUCAGCGCGGUGCGUUUGAGGAGGGGCUCAGGCAGCAAUUCCCGGUGCCGACCUCCCGGAGCUCCUGCACACCCCCAGGCCCUGCUUGUGAGUCAUUCCAUGCUUUGCCAUUGGACUUUGGACAAAGGAGGGGAAGGAUCUGUUCCACAUAGGUGUCAUCCAAUGCUCGGCUCUAGUGCUUUCCUUGGGAAAGGAUGUACUGGAAUAAAAAAAGUAGUCCCGGCCCACAUGGUACCUACCCAGAGGAGGUCACUGCUCUGUUCCUGGCAGAGGGAGACCUGCUGGCAUCUGAGUGGCUCAAUACUGGGCCAUGUUGCAGCAACACGGGAGGGCUGGACUUGGUGCCUUCUCUCCUUUCCUGUUCUGAGAGCAGGAGCAGGUGGGCUUGCCCAGAAGCUGUGUGUAAGAGGAGAGAAGAGGACAUUUGUCAGGGCCCAACCAUGAUAAAGAUCCUUCUCAUAUCAACAGCAAAGUCAAAGAUUUUGAGGAAUGAUUGAUUUUUUUGAAUGAAUGAAUGACUGACUUUUGCCUGACUCAAUAUCCAACUGAUCAUUUACAGGACACUGAUAGUUCUACUAUUACCUGCAGUUUCCUGGAGCCAUGAAACAGCCAAACAGCCAAUACCUGCAGGAUGUUAUUCCCUGACAGCACAUUUGGAGAGAAAUAAACUGCAGGAUACUUUUGUCCAAGCAAACAGUUGCUUUCUUUCACCUGAGAGAGCUUUGAGGUGCCUCUUGGAGCUAUUUUGCUAAUCCUGGAUGCAGGUAAGGCCACAAACAUUUAAUUGACUCUCAAGAUGCAUUUUGGCCCCUUUUAUAUAGACCUGUUUAAAAUGAAACAUUGGGAGGGUUCUGGGGGGCUGUUUUCCAAACAAAAGCUUUCUUUCCAAAUAAGUAUGCAAACAAACAAACCCCAGCUUACUUGUUUUCAAAAUGCUGAAAUGCAGUACUUAAGGGUUGACUUUUCAGAUUUAUCUUCUCAUUUCUUUAUCCAUUAUUUCUUCCCAAUUAUGGUCUGAGUUUACCAUUCCAUAAGUGUUAUGUUUCUCAGUUAAUCCAUCCCCAAAGUCCUCUCUGAGGGUCCCUUGUCAAAACUUGUAGCUCUUAAAGAUUUACUCCAGGGCCAACCAAGAAGCCGUUCAGUCAGAGCCAGUAGAUGGCAGUGAAAGAUGGGGAAUAAGGAAAAAAAUCAAACCUUUAAUUGGGAAACAGCCGGUGGGUUCUCCUUUCACUGCAGACUUCCCCAAACUCUGCUGCCACGCCGUUUCCAUGCACAAAGGAAUGGUUUCUUUUAGAUCCCUGUUUGUCUUCUCUCAUGCCUGUUUCCCUGGGGGCUUUGGGCACACAGGAAACACCAGCAUUUCUGCCCAGAAAAUGCAUAUUUCUACCCUUUAACCCCACAAAGAAGAUUCCCUAAAGAGGAGUUGCAAACACAGCACCCAGUCCACAGGCAGGAUCACACACGAGCUGCUGGAGCCAACUCCUCAGCAGGAACUGCUGGGGGUGAUCCAGAAGCUGCACAACAGCUGAUGGAGAAAGGGAUGAGUGGGAUGUGCACAGCCAGCUAAGGAACUGAGCACUUACUCAUCCACAGUAAUGUCUGGGCAGCAUUUGGAUUAAUAAAUUGAAUUUUAUAGAGAAAAUCAUCCUGGGACCUUGAGCCACUAUGGUGGUCGAAGCCCAAACUGUGCCCUUUGAUACAAAGUCAAACCUUGGGGAGCAAAACUCUCUGGUUUGUUCUUCUCUCCUUUCACCUCAUAAAUGCCCUCUGACUGUCACAUGAUUAUCAUGCUCCAACUAUGGUAUAGAUCAUAAUUUUAUAAAGUGCAAGGAAAAUUAUCAAAAUUAUUGUUAUAUAAUAAAUAAUCAAUAUAGUUACUGCAAUUUAAAUACAUUAAAAGUCUAAAUCUUACCUGUUGGUCCUUUUCCUCUCCUUUCCACAAUCAUCACCACUUAAGAGCCUCAGGAAAAUUUGCAUGGCAAAGUCAACAAGUGUCACUCCCUGCUUGGAGCUGAGCUAACUUCAGACCUGGAUAAAAUCAAUCAGAUUUUCUUUUAGGUUGAGAAAUCUGAUAAAACUCUGUAAGUGGGGCAACCAAAAAGCUUUUGAAUGGCAAGGAAAGUCUCAGUCAUGGCAGCUCUUUAAGUCACUCACAGCCAUCACUCACACAGCUCUGUGCCCAUCACAGGCUCAGUAAAAAUCUAAUAUCUGCUGCCCACGUGAUGUCUGACCUGCACUUUGCAUUGUGCUAGUUGCAAACAUAAAUUGCAGUGUGUGAAGCAGGAAUGCACUGGCAUACCCACACAGGUAUUUAAUCCCAGCAGUGUCUCCUGU
rnacentral:lncRNA from 1 species